GACGAACGCUGGCGGCGUGCCUAAUACAUGCAAGUCGAACGCAGUGGGGACGGGUGAGUAACACGUGGGUAACCUCCCAACAGAGGGGAUAACACUUGGAAACAGGUGCUAAACCGAUACUGAUGGAUGGACACGCGGUGCAUUAGCUAGUUGGUGAGGUAACGGCUCACCAAGGCCACGAUGCAUGGGCGACCUGAGAGGGUGAUCGGCCAACCUGGGACUGAGACACGUCCCGGACCCCUACGGAAGGCAGCAGUAGGUAAUCUUCGGCAAUGGACGAAAGUCUGACCGAGCAACGCCGCGUGAGUGAAGAAGGUUUUCGGAUCGUAAUCCUCUGUUGUUAGAGAAGCGGUAUCUAACCAGAAAGCCACGGCUAACUACGUGCCAGCCGCCGCGGUAAUAC
rnacentral:rRNA from 1 species